UUGCCAUUGGUCUCGAUACAGCUGUCAUUUUUACCCCUUGGGCUCCCCGAUGCCUGAGAGAUGUUUGGAAAGUCAAGUGGAGAAAUUGGGAUUCUUAACACCUCCUGUGCUCAGGGUGUAGAUGCCUUCUGAGAAGUGCAAGCAAGAAGUUUGGAGCAGACCCCGCUGAGCUCGCUGCGAUCAUCACCACAGGAUCUGGUUCUCCCUGUGACUCCAGCUGUAGGUUGCCACCACGGGUUCCCCUCCUCUGUGUGAUCCCCUCCACAUGCCCUGAGGUUCUACCUCUCUGUAUCUAAAUCCACCUUAUUUAUUCCUAUGUGAAGCAGGAGGUGCCUUCUGCAAACUCUGAGCCUCUGGAAGGUUGCACAAAGCAAAUGAAUAUCCUCCAUCACUUCUUCUGUUACACAAUGCCCAGAUGCAAAACCUUCAGGUUUCUGAUGGUCAGUAGCAGUAGGAGAAGAAGAGCCAGGUGGAGAUUGGUGUGCUGCACCUUCUACAGCCCAAGGGAAAUGGAGAACUUGUGAGUGGAACAGAAAGCCAACCUUCAACAUACAUCAAAGAAAGUUUAAACUACCUACGUCAAAGGUGUCUGUCCUUGCUGGAAAAUGUUUUAUGGCUCUUGCAGUAGUGAAGAAUUUGGAAAAGGUGACAUCGUUUCAGCUUAUUUCAGUUCCUAAAGAAAGUCAACAAGCCCUGGCGUUACUGGAUAUCCACUCUGUGUGACUGUGACUGCACAAAAGAUGGACAGAGA